rnacentral:rRNA from 1 species
ACGAACGCUGGCGGCGUGCCUAACACAUGCAAGUCGAACGGAUCAGUGCUUCGCACUGAUUACUUUGGGGUAAAGCCCCAAACCCCCUUUAAGGAUUUUAUUCUAAGAUUUUAUAGGGAGUUUGAGGGAUCAGUCCCUCAAAGUAACCAAUGCGGAGCAUUGGUUAGUGGCGGACGGGUGAGUAACACGUAGGAAACCUACCCUUAAGGCGGGGAUAAUGCCCGAGAAAUCGGCACUAAUACCCCAUAAGACCACGAACUGAGAAGUUCGUGGUAAAAGUCCUGAGAAAAUCAUGAUGCUUAAGGAUGGGCCUGCGGCCUAUCAGGUAGUUGGUGGGGUAAAGGCCCACCAAGCCUAAGACGGGUAGCCG